rnacentral:rRNA from 1 species
AUCAAAAACAUGUCUUUAAGAGAAAAAAUUUAAGGUUUAAUCUGCUCUAUGAGGAUUAAAUGGCUGCGGAAUUUUUACUGUACUAAGGGAGCAUAAUAAAUUGUUUGUUAAUUGCAAACUAGAAUGAAUGAUUGGAUGAAAUAUUUACUAUUUAGAUUUAAAUUUUAAAAUUUAAUUUUUAAGUUAAAAAGCUUAAAUGAAUUUUUGGGACGAGAAGACCCUAUAGAUUUUUAUAAUUUAAUUUUGUGAUUAUUUAUUUAUUAGUUUUAUUUAAUGAAAUUAUUUUGAUGGGGAAUUAAAAAAAUAAUAUAAUUUUUUACAUUUAAAUUCAAAAUUAAUUGGGUGUGUGAUUAGAAAGUAUAAAAGAUGAAAAUACCUUAGGGAUAACAGCAUAAUAAUUUUAUUAAGCUCAAAUUUUUAAAAUUGUUUGUGACCUCUAGUCUU